GAUGAAGAACGCAGCGAAAUGCGAUAAGUAGUGUGAAUUGCAGAAUUCAGUGAAUCAUCGAAUCUUUGAACGCACAUUGCGCCCCUUGGUAUUCCAUGGGGCAUGCCUGUUCGAGCGUCAUUUGUACCUUCAAGCUUUGCUUGGUGUUGGGUGUUUGUCCUGAGGGACUCGCCUUAAAGUAAUUGGCAGCCAGUGUUUUGGUUUUGAAGCGCAGCACAAGUCGCGAUUCAAAGCUAUACGCCAGCUUCCACAAGCCUUUUUCACUUUUGACCUCGGAUCAGGUAGGGAUACUCGCUGAACUUAAGCAUAUCAAUAAGCGGAGGA
rnacentral:misc_RNA from 1 species